rnacentral:rRNA from 1 species
AGUGAACGCUGGCGGUAGGCCUAACACAUGCAAGUCGAACGGCAGCACAGUAAGAGCUUGCUCUUACGGGUGGCGAGUGGCGGACGGGUGAGGAAUACAUCGGAAUCUACUUUUUCGUGGGGGAUAACGUAGGGAAACUUACGCUAAUACCGCAUACGACCUACGGGUGGAAGCAGGGGAUCUUCGGACCUUGCGCGAUUGAAUGAGCCGAUGUCGGAUUAGCUAGUUGCCGGGGUAAAGGCCCACCAAGGCGACGAUCCGUAGCUGGUCUGAGAGGAUGAUCAGCCGAACUAGAACUGAGACACGGUCCAGACUCCUACGGGAGGCAGCAGUAGGGAAUAUUGGACAAUGGGCGCAAGCCUGAUCCAGCCAUACCGCGUGGGUGAAGAAGGCCUUCGGGUUGUAAAGCCCUUUUGUUGGGAAAGAAAAGCAGCAGGUUAAUACCCCGCUGUUCUGACGGUACCCAAAGAAUAAGCACCGGCUAACUUCGUG